rnacentral:rRNA from 1 species
AUUGAACGCUGGCGGCAGGCCUAACACAUGCAAGUCGAACGAGUGGCGGACGGGUGAGUAAUGUCUGGGAAACUGCCUGCUGGAGGGGGAUAACUACUGGAAACGGUAGCUAAUACCGCAUACCAUCUGAUGUGCCCAGAUUGGAUUAGCUAGUAGGUUGGGUAAAGGCUCACCUAGGCGACGAUCCAUAGCUGGUCUGAGAGGAUGACCAGCAACACUGGAAGUGAGACAGGGUCCAGAAGCCUACGGGAGGCAGCAGGGGGUAUAAUUGCACAAUGGGCGCAAGCCUGAUGCAGCCAUGCCGCGUGUAUGAAGAAGGCCUUCGGGGUGUAAAGUACUAUCAGCGGGGAGGCGUUACCCGAAGAAGAAGCACCGGCUAACUCCGUGCCAGCCGCCGCGGUAAUUC